AAUGAGCUCACAGCUCCUCCUCUUACAGAUCCAGGGAUGUCCUCCCCUGUGUCCAAGCCUACUUUCCCCCUCCACCUCCAGCUAGAGAGAAGCAGCUCUCCAAGUGAGCUGAACCAGCCUCCACUGCCCCGUCAUUAUGUUUACCUUUUUGAUUUAGGAAACACUCUUAUCCAGAGCAACUUACAGUUAUUGCAUUCAUCUUAAGAUAGUUAGGUGGGACAACCACAUAUCAAAGGCGUAGUAAGAACCCUUUUCCACAAUGAAGUAGCUAUCAGCAAAGUCAGAGCGAGAAAGGGGGGAGUCAAGUGUGAGUGUUAGAUUCAGGACUGGGCUGAGUGGGAGCUACCCUCCCAUAGGGGUGGGAAGGCCAACAGACCAGAGGUGGCAGAACGGAGUGCUCCUGUUGGGUGUGUAGUGUUUGAGCAUAGCCUGAAGGUAGGGAGGGGCAGUUCCCCUUACUGUUCCAUAGGCAAGUACCAUGGUCUUGAAGUGGAUGCGAGCUUUGACUAGAAGCCAGUGGAGUGUGCGGAGGAGCAGGGUGAGAUGGAAGAACUUGGGAAGGUUGAAAAUCAGGCAGGCCGCAGCAUUCUGAAUAGGUUGCAGGGGUUUGAUGACACAAGCGGGGAGCCCAGCCAACAGCGAGUUGCAGAAUUCCAGAAGGGAGAUGACAAGUGCCUGGAUUAGGAGAUGCUCCGCAUCCUGUGUGAGGUUUUGAAACAACAUCCACAACGACCAUGUUUCGCACUCCGUUUCAACCUGCUGUUGACCUUCUUUCUUCAAAUUGAGCAUCACAGUGAGGAUGUCGGUGGGCAGAUCCGGGAGGGUCGUCAGUGAAAUGUGUCCCAGGUUAAAUGCACCUCUUCCCCAUUCAUUGAGGAGACUCUCUCCAUGCAGACACAGACAGAUUUUGUUUGUGGCAUUUUUGUUGCUAUUUGGUUUGUUUACAUUGGCACCUUUCAGCACCCCUCAUUAUCACAUGUAAACACGCGACCACUCACUUACACUUCUGACUAAACACACACCAUUGUUAAUUGUAUUUACUUUACUUCAGUUAAUAAAUAUAUUUUGUUAUUCUUUA